UAAACUGAGGCAUUUCAACACAGGUCGCUCUUUAAAAAUGGUGGGAAAUUAUUGUGCGCUAAAGAAUUGCAACAACCGAUCGAAUAGAAAGGAGAAUGUACAGCUCGACAGAACACCAUUGAGUUUCUUCCGGAUCCCUACAUGGAGAAAAGGCGAGGGAAAGCUCAUAUCUGAACUUACCAAACGUCGAAGAAUGGCAUGGGUGGCCUCGAUCAGAAGGAAGGGCAUAACGUUUGAUUCUCCAGUUACACACUGAGUUUGCUCUAUGCACUUCCACUCCGAGAAUUAAAGUCUGAGUGUCCAGUUGGUCUGAACAGGGGGGUUGCAAGUCAGCGUGGCCCAUCCCUCCUCCCGCAGCUCAGCAAAGGGGCCACCGGGCCACCCACUCCCCCAUCAACCGGCCUUCAGGGAUGGGAAGAGGGGACGCUCCACCCACACCCACCCCCGCCCGCCCCACAGCCGCAGCCCCCCCAACCGGCACGGCACACCGCGGGACCCCCAAUGGCCCACCAAGCCCAAGGCAGGGCAGGGCCCCCCGCCGGAGCUGGCGGCACCCUGCCAACACACCAGCAUCCAGCUAGCCGGGAGGGGUGCGCGGUAUGACAACAGGGAGCACUUCCCCGGUACCCAAGACGAGGAGACGCGGCAGGAUGUGUCUGAGGAGAACUUUGUACAUGUCCAUCCAUGAUCAAAUGAAUUGAAAGCCAGCCACACCCAUUCAGCUACAAGCAUUCACAGAGAGCUGAGAUGAACUGCGCACGCUUGUGGGUGCUGAUGGCUGCUUUGAGCCUCGGAAAUGGCGAUCAAAGGGUUUACCAGCCAACAGGGUAUCAGUACGCUGCGGAGGGUGAAACAGUGACGCUGGACUGUAGCUACAGUAGCUCCCAGAGCAACGAUUAUAUCUUCUGGUACAAGCAAGAAGGAAACGCAGCACCAGACUUUGUUUUGAGCGCCUUUAAGCAUGGUCAAGGCAAAAAGGGGAAGAAGUACGCCGAGAGGUUUCACUGCAACAUAAAUACCUGGACCCUGCAAGCUCCGCUACAUAUCACGCGCUUAGAGCUGAACGACUCAGCAAUCUACUACUGCGGCCUGCAGCCCACGCUGACAAAUCCACUUGUCUGCCUGUACAAAAACACCUACAUCCGUUCCAUGGGUCACAUUGGGGGGGGCAGCCUUACAGUAGUAGACAAAUACCUGUAGAUGUGAAAAACAAUCAAUCUUAAAAUAUUAAACCUUAAAAAAUAAUAAAUGAUUGAAAUUGUAUCCAUGCUAAGAACUCACUCAUUAAAG